CAUAUUUUAACAUAAGAGUAACAUAGCGGGUUCACAGGCCACCGACGAGGAUUUUCUCCACCUUCACUUCACCGUCGCUGGCGUCAAGAUUUCCGCACUAGCGCUCCGGCGGCACCAUCGAGGUCACUGGCCUGAUGCAGGGCAAGACUGAUGCCAACGCCAUCAUACGCCUUCGCCCUUCCCGUCGAAGGCACCAAGAUUCGUGUCAAUGCCCAUUUUUUUUUCAUAUUUCUGAAUUCCAUUCAUGUGCUUCAAGUCCUCUCUUGAUUCACACCUGUUGGAUUUUCUGUGGAACAAGUAUUGGAUGAAUAUGUUGUUGUUCCUCUGUUGGGUAAUAGAGAUUAUGUUACUGGACAAAUCUCUGAUUUAGCCUGUUCACAGUAACUUGAACAGAUGACCGUCACCUAUAUUUACCGCCUUACCGGGUAUAAGGAAUGGUAUAACAAAGAUAUGACAUUUGUUCUGCACUUUGCUGCUAAACAAGACACACCCACAGUCAUGCAAUGACAUUGACAAAGCAUGAGAUGCAAGCCAUGAAUUAACACCAAGGUUCUAAAUAUCAAUUUGUCCAAAAUCAAUGAAUAUGGAGUGGUUAUACAUGUCAAUGACAUCAUUUCAUGCCUCAUGAAAAAAUAUAUUUAUAGAA